rnacentral:rRNA from 1 species
UGGGGAAUCUUGCACAAUGGGCGAAAGCCUGAUGCAGCAACGCCGCGUGCGGGAAGACAGCCCUAGGGUUGUAAACCGCUUUCAGCAGGGAAGAAACUGACGGUACCUGCAGAAGAAGAUGCGGCCAACUACGUGCCAGCAGCCGCGGUGACACGUAGGCAUCAAGCGUUAUCCGGAUUUAUUGGGCGUAAAGAGCUCGUAGGCGGUUCGGUAAGUCGGGUGUGAAACUCUGGGCUCAACCCAGAGAGGCCACUCGAUACUGCUGUGACUAGAGUGCGGUAGGGGAGCGGGGAAUUCCUGGUGUAGCGGUGAAAUGCGCAGAUAUCAGGAGGAACACCAGUGGCGAAGGCGCCGCUCUGGGCCGUAACUGACGCUGAGGAGCGAAAGCAUGGGUAGCAAACAGGAUUAGAUACCCUGGUAGUCCAUGCCGUAAACGUUGGGCACUAGGUGUGGGUCUC